rnacentral:rRNA from 1 species
UGGGGAAUAUUGCACAAUGGGCGAAAGCCUGAUGCAGCAACGCCGCGUGAGGGACGACGGCCUUCGGGUUGUAAACCUCUUUUAGCAAGGAAGAAGCGAAAGUGACGGUACUUGCAGAAAAAGCGCCGGCUAACUACGUGCCAGCAGCCGCGGUAAUACGUAGGGCGCAAGCGUUAUCCGGAAUUUAUUGGGCGUAAAGAGCUCGUAGGCGGUUUGUCGCGUCUGCUGUGAAAACCCCGAGGCUCAACCUCGGGCCUGCAGUGGGUACGGGCAGACUAGAGUGCGGUAGGGGAGAUUGGAACUCCUGGUGUAGCGGUGGAAUGCGCAGAUAUCAGGAAGAACACCGAUGGCGAAGGCAGAUCUCUGGGCCCGUAACUGACGCUGAGGAGCG